rnacentral:rRNA from 1 species
UCGAGCGAUGAAAUCCCUUCGGGGAUGGAUUAGCGGCGGACGGGUGAGUAACACGUGGGUAACCUGCCUCAAAGAGGGGGAUAGCCUCCCGAAAGGGAGAUUAAUACCGCAUAACAUUAGUAUUUCGCAUGAAGAACUAAUUAAAGGAGUAAUCCGUUUUGAGAUGGACCCGCGGCGCAUUAGCUAGUUGGUGAGGUAAAGGCUCACCAAGGCGACGAUGCGUAGCCGACCUGAGAGGGUGAUCGGCCACAUUGGAACUGAGACACGGUCCAGACUCCUACGGGAGGCAGCAGUGGGGAAUAUUGCACAAUGGGCGAAAGCCUGAUGCAGCAACGCCGCGUGAGUGAUGAAGGCCUUCGGGUUGUAAAGCUCUGUCUUUGGGGACGAUAAUGACGGUACCCAAGGAGGAAGCCACGGCUAACUACGUGCCAGCAGCCGCGGUAAUACGUAGGUGGCAAGCGUUGUCCGGAUUUACUGGGCGUAAAGGAUGCGUAGGCGGAUAUUUAAGUGAGAUGUGAAAUUCCCGGGCUUAACUUUGGAGCUGCAUUUCAAACUGGAUAUCUAGAGUGUGGGAGAGGAGAAUGGAAUUCCUAGUGUAGCGGUGAAAUGCGUAGAGAUUAGGAAGAACACCAGUGGCGAAGGCGAUUCUCUGGACCAUAACUGACGCUGAGGCAUGAAAGCGUGGGUAGCAAACAGGAUUAGAUACCCUGGUAGUCCACGCCGUAAACGAUGAGUACUAGGUGUUAG